rnacentral:rRNA from 1 species
UUGAAACUCAAAAAAUUUGGCGGUAUUUUAGUCUAUUUAGAGGAACCUGUGAUGUAAUUGAUAAUCCACGAUGGAUCUUACUUAAUUUUGUUUUUCAGUUUGUAUAUCGCUGUUAUUUGAAAAUUUUAAAAGGACAAUAAUUUUCAGAAGUUUUUAUUAAAAAAUAAAUCAAGUCAAGGUGCAGCUUAUAGUUAAGGUUUACAUGGGUUACAAUAAAUUUAUUUAUAUGGAUUUUUACAUGAAAU